rnacentral:rRNA from 1 species
AAUUGGUAUGUUCACAGGGGUUUGGGAGUUGUAAACUCGGUAAUGAUCCCUCCGCAGGUUCACCUACGGA